AAAUAUUUGACUAUAUGGAUGACACGCUUAGGUAUGCUACACAAAACAAUUAUGAGACCAUUAUCCUCGGGGAUUUAAAUUGUGAUUGUCUCAACGCGUCUCUUAAACAAACAGAAAGACUAUUUGAAUUCCUCAUGGUUAAUGGUUUAGAACAACUCAUUAAAAAACCAACUCGGGUAACAAACAAUAGACAAUCAUUAAUAGACGUCUUAAUCACCUCGACGCCCUGUCUUUCUAAG